ACUCCUACGGGAGGCAGCAGUAGGGAAGUCUUCCACAAUGGGCGCAAGCCUGAUGGAGCAACACCGCGUGAGUGAAGAAGGGUUUCGGCUCGUAAAGCUCUGUUGUUAAAGAAGAACACGUAUGAGAGUAACUGUUCAUACGUUGACGGUAUUUAACCAGAAAGUCACGGCUAACUACGUGCCAGCAGCCGCGGUAAUACGUAGGUGGCAAGCGUUAUCCGGAUUUAUUGGGCGUAAAGAGAGUGCAGGCGGUUUUCUAAGUCUGAUGUGAAAGCCUUCGGCUUAACCGGAGAAGUGCAUCGGAAACUGGAUAACUUGAGUGCAGAAGAGGGUAGUGGAACUCCAUGUGUAGCGGUGGAAUGCGUAGAUAUAUGGAAGAACACCGAGUGGCGAAGGCGGCUACCUGGUCUGCAACUGACGCUGAGACUCGAAAGCAUGGGUAGCGAACAGGAUUAGAUACCCCUGGUAGGAUAGCG
rnacentral:rRNA from 1 species